UACGUAGGGUGCGAGCGUUGUCCGGAAUUAUUGGGCGUAAAGAGCUCGUAGGCGGUGUGUCACGUCGUUCGUGAAAACCUGCAGCUUAACUGUGGGCGUGCGGUCGAUACGGGCAUCACUGGAGUUCGGCAGGGGAGAGUGGAAUUCCUGGUGUAGCGGUGAAAUGCGCAGAUAUCAGGAAGAACACCCGUGGCGAAAGCGGCUCUCUGGAACGGUACUGACGCUGAGACGCGAAAGCGUGGGGAGCGAACAGG
rnacentral:rRNA from 1 species